rnacentral:sRNA from 1 species
AUAUAAAGAGAUCCUGUUGCUGCAUGCAGACAUAAAAUUGAGUCUGUGGCAUUUGCUGUAUUUUUCAUCUACAUCCCAAAUCAGACAUCUUAAGGCACUAAUAAUUUGCAAAGUUAAACCUCCUCCACAAAUUUCACCCAGCAAAUCGAUGGGCGGAGAAUUUUGUGUGGCUGCUACCUUCGGAACAUCCAGGUCAUGGUUUGCAAAUAAUGCAGGUCUGAAAAGAGAAAAAGAUCAGUCCAAACAAGUUGUAGUUGAGUCCCUGUACAUUAUCAGUUGCUAUGGCACCUUAGUGGAGCACAUGAUGGAGCCACGACCCCUCAGCACUGCACCCAAGAUUAGUGACGACACGCCGCUGGAAAUGAUGACAUCGCCUCGAGCCACCUGGACUCUGAACCCCUCAAUGGAAUGAAUUGCAGCCACCAUUUAAUGCAAACCACCCUCUGCUCCUCGCUGCAGAUGCAGUACAGUAUUAUCAGUUCCUGCUUGCUGGCCUGGUUCCCCCUGGAAGUCCUGGGCCCAUUACUCGACAUGGGUCUUAUGACAGUUUAGCUUCUGACCAUA